rnacentral:misc_RNA from 1 species
GUGAAUCAUCGAAUUUUUGAACGCAAAUUGCACUCUCCGGUUUUCCGGGAGAGUAUGCCUGUUUGAGGGUCUGUUUAAAAAAUAAUCGAGGCUGCUGCUGUGGUGGCGCUUCGGAAUUGGGUCAUCUUAAACCUUUGGGUUUUACGAGGCUUAAAAUUUUCUUUACGAUUCCACGAACGUUUAUAAGAUUUUACUUCUUACACGUUAAAGGUAUCGAUCUUUAUUAGACUGGGCCGUUGCAUCGGAUC